GGGUUGUGAGGUUAAGCGACUAAGCGUACACGGUGGAUGCCCUGGCAGUCAGAGGCGAUGAAGGACGUGCUAAUCUGCGAUAAGCGUCGGUAAGGUGAUAUGAACCGUUAUAACCGGCGAUUUCCGAAUGGGGAAACCCAGUGUGAUUCGUCACACUAUCAUUAACUGAAUCCAUAGGUUAAUGAGGCGAACCGGGGGAACUGAAACAUCUAAGUACCCCGAGGAAAAGAAAUCAACCGAGAUUCCCCCA
rnacentral:rRNA from 1 species